GACGGAGGUGGCAAGCGUUGCUCGGAUUUACUGGGUGUAAAGGGCACGUAGGCGGCCUGCUAAGCCCCGCCUAAAAUGCUCUGGCUCAACCAGAGCUGGAGGUGGGGGACUGGCGGGCUUGAGGAUUGGAGAGGCGAGCGGAAUUCCCGGUGUAAGGGUGAAAUCUGUAGAGAUCGGGAGGAACACCAGUGGCGAAAGCGGCUCGCUGGCCAAUUUCUGACGCUGAGGUGCGAAAGCUAGGGGAGCAAACAGG
rnacentral:rRNA from 1 species